GUCCAUCUCCCGCACCGAGCUGCUUGACACGAGCCCGCUGAUGUCCAGACGGCGCUUCUGUGGGGGUGAGGUGAGGUGGGAUUAGCUAGUGGAAGUUAGGUUAGGUUAGGUUAGGUUAGGAUAGUAGAUGUCAGAUAAGGUGAGGUAACGUUAGCAGAGAUUAGUUAAGUUAGGUUAUUGUGGAAGUAAGGUUAGGUUAGCAAAAGUUAGGUUAGGUUAGGAUAGUAGAUGUCAAAUAAGGUGAGGUAAGGUUAGGAGAGAUUAGUUAAGUUAGGUUAUAGUGGAAGUAUGGUUAGGUUAGGAUAGGU